AUGACAGAGAAGAAGUCUACUUUGUGUUUUUGCCUGUCAGUGUAACAAAAAUCCCCAGUUUGGUAAGUGAGGUGACCUUGCCUUGUACAUGAAGAAAGGAGUAAAAUAAAGCAGCACAUUAGACCACGGGCAGGACUUGGGCUAGGGCUCUAACUUCCUGCCCACUAGACUGAAACCAAAACACUGUAACAUAAACAAUUCUAAUGCGGGUUAUUAAAAAGCCUUACAAUUACCGGUCCAAAGCUCAGCCCCCUAAACGCACGUAAGUGAGAAGAUUGUGUACACGACUUCCUCGAGUGAUGAUGGUAUUGCAUAAUCAUUCAUCUUUUAUUAGAGCUACGCAAGUUUCUUUAAUUAAAGCACACGAGAUCUAUGGAAGCAUAUUAUUGCAUAUGCAUGCAGCUCAGCAAUUCUGAAGAUAAAUGCUAGUUAUACCUUACUUCCCUGCUACCUCUAUUUCUUGGAUGAAGGAGAACAGUGCUAUGUCCAUAUACAACAGCUACAUGCUGCGCCAUACAGAGAAGUGCUCACAGUGAUUUUCAGAUGAUGCAGUAAAGCAAAGAAGGAGAAUGUUUGAAGAUUUUUAUGAAGAUGGCGACUUUCUGUGUAGAACUUCAUUUAACAAGAUCUCGGUUAAGCAAUAUCACCCCAGAUAAGAUUCCCAGAAUGAGCAUGAAGAGGGCAUGGUGGCUUAGCAAUAAUGUAUCAUCAGAUUUAACAUCAGCCUGAAUGCUUAGCAACACUGUAUCAUCAGAUCUAUUGCCAGCUUGGAGGCUUAGCAACAAUGCAUCAUCAGAUCUAUUGUCAGCUUGGAGGCUUAGCAACAAUGUGUCAUCAGAGCUAUCUUCAGCUUGGAGAGAUGCUAGAGUGUGGUGAUAGGAUUGUCUUCUGGGAACCUAUGGCUCAGAACCAAUUGAGUCUUGGAGUGGUGUUAUUCAGAAUAAUCUGUGGGAGCCUAAUGCUGCAUUUUGUGUGUGGAGUAUCAGCAGCUCAUCUGU